GAGCAGAAGACGGUACCAUACGAGGAAGCCCCGGCAAACUACGUGCCAGCAGCCGCGGUAAUACGUAGGGGGCAAGCGUUGUCCGGAAUUACUGGGCGUAAAGCGCACGCAGGCUGAAUUAUAAGUCGGUAGUCAAAGGCGGAGGCUCAACUUCCGUUUAUCUAUCGAAACUGUAAAUCUAGAGUAUGUGAGAGGGAAGUGGAAUUCCCGGUGUAGCGGUGAAAUGCGUAGAUAUCGGGAGGAACGCCAGKNGCGAAGGCGGCUUCCUGGCACAAUACUGACGCUCAUGUGCGAAACUGGGGUAGCGAACGGGAUUAGAUACCCCGGUAGUCCUAGCCGUAAACGAUGGAUACUAGGUGUGGGUGUCGCAGGGCAUCCGUGCCGCAGCUAACGCGUUAAGUAUCCCGCCUGGGGACUACGGUCGCAAGMUGAAACUCAAAGGAAUUGACGGGG
rnacentral:rRNA from 1 species